rnacentral:misc_RNA from 1 species
UCUCCGUUGGUGAACCAGCGGAGGGAUCAUUACCGAGUUUACAACUCCCAAACCCCUGUGAACAUACCAUUUGUUGCCUCGGCGGGGCCUGCUUCGGCAGCCCGCCAGCGGACCCAAACCCUUGAUUUUAUACAGUAUCUUCUGAGUAAAGGAUUAAAUAAAUCAAAACUUUCAACAACGGAUCUCUUGGUUCUG